CGAACGUCCAGAAUGAUGACGUUUUUGUCUACGUUCAAAUUUAAAUGUCCUAUCGUUUAUUUUUCUUUUGGGCCAUUGCAAGAAAGUUAUUGAUAGCUUUUUAUACUCGAUAUUUGGUGGAAAGGGAUUUUAGCGCAGUUGUUUUUUUUUGUGUAUUAUCUGCCCAAAGAACAUGGCCAGUGUAUUAUCCAAGAUAUUGAACGAAGUGAAAGAUUCAUUGCAAAUACCCAUCUUUUCAAUUUCAAGAAGUUUUCUUAGAAAAUUAUUUACCUUACAUCGAAAGUAAUCAUCUUAAAAAGAUGUAUCCUUAUCAGUUACCAGUGGUAGUACACACACGACAUUGCCCGGAGUAAUUAGUGACCGCCUAAAAUACAAAUUUUUGUUUAAUAAAAUAGAAUAUAACUCUCCAACAAAUCAUUUGCAUUACUCUCUGUUUUUCUUGAGCACAUUCAAACCUAGUUACUCAAUACAAUAAUACGUAUAUCUAGUGUUGGAACUGUCCUAGGACUGAUAGUAGAUAGACAAUCAUACAAAAGAAAAUAUUUGGACCAAAAUCCUGUCUCUAGCUUCAAUAUUAAGGAAGUUAUUACCAAUUUAUCUUCGGAAUACCAUCGCUUUUUGUUCCUACUGUUUAGUACUUUCAUAUUGCACAGAAAUGAAGAUUAAAGGGGAUAAUAUAGGGUUAAAAUUUAUGUACUUUGCAUCAAUGGACUGAUUGGAAACUUUAUAAAAUACUAGAUAUAUAAAUGAAUUAAUGUACA
rnacentral:lncRNA from 1 species